GUAGAUAUAGCUCAGUUGGUUAGAGCAUCGGGUUGUGGUUCCGAGGGUCGUGGGUUCGAGCCCCAUUAUCUACCCCA
rnacentral:tRNA from 1 species